UACGAAGGGGGCUAGCGUUGCUCGGAAUCACUGGGCGUAAAGGGUGCGCAGGUGGGCUGGUAAGUUCGAUGUGAAAGCCCCGGCUUAACCCGGGAAUGGCAUUGGAUACUACUGGUCUGGAGGAUCGGAGGGGGGACUGGAAUUCUUGGUGUAGCAGUGAAAUGCGUAGAUAUCAAGAGGAACACCAGUGGCGAAGGCGAGUCCCUGGACGAUACCUGACACUGAGG
rnacentral:rRNA from 1 species